rnacentral:rRNA from 1 species
AACGAACGCUGGCGGCAGGCUUAACACAUGCAAGUCGAACGCCCCGCAAGGGGAGUGGCAGACGGGUGAGUAACGCGUGGGAAUCUACCCAUCUCUGCGGAAUAGCUCUGGGAAACUGGAAUUAAUACCGCAUACGCCCUACGGGGGAAAGAUUUAUCGGGGAUGGAUGAGCCCGCGUUGGAUUAGCUAGUUGGUGGGGUAAAGGCCUACCAAGGCGACGAUCCAUAGCUGGUCUGAGAGGAUGAUCAGCCACAUUGGGACUGAGACACGGCCCAAACUCCUACGGGAGGCAGCAGUGGGGAAUAUUGGACAAUGGGCGCAAGCCUGAUCCAGCCAUGCCGCGUGAGUGAUGAAGGCCUUAGGGUUGUAAAGCUCUUUCACCGGUGAAGAUAAUGACGGUAACCGGAGAAGAAGCCCCGGCUAACUUCGUGCCAGCAGCCGCGGUAAUACGAAGGGGGCUAGCGUUGUUCGGAAUUACUGGGCGUAAAGCGCACGUAGGCGGAUAUUUAAGUCAGGGGUGAAAUCCCAGAGCUCAACUCUGGAACUGCCUUUGAUACUGGGUAUCUUGAGUAUGGAAGAGGUAAGUGGAAUUGCGAGUGUAGAGGUGAAAUUCGUAGAUAUUCGCAGGAACACCAGUGGCGAAGGCGGCUUACUGGUCCAUUACUGACGCUGAGGUGCGAAAGCGUGGGGAGCAAACAGGAUUAGAUACCCUGGUAGUCC